rnacentral:rRNA from 1 species
UACGUAAGUGGCGAGCGUUAUCCGGAAUUACUGGGCGUAAAGGGCUCGUAGGCGGCCAACUAAGUCAGACGUGAAAUCCCUCGGCUUAACCGGGGAACUGCAUCUGAUACUGGAUGGCUUGAGUUCGGGAGAGGGAUGCGGAAUUCCAGGUGUAGCGGUGAAAUGCGUAGAGAUCGGGAGGAAGGCCGGUGGCGAAGGCGGCGCUCUGGAACAUUUCUGACGCUGAGGCUCGAAAGCGUGGGGAGCAAACAGG